GCCUAUUCUUCCUCCCAAAUCGCCGAUUCCUUUGUUCGAUUCCUUCUCCUUCCACGACGUCGCCACUUUCUUUCCUUCCUCUUUGCCGAGUGACGCCGCCCUUCCUUUUCCUCUCUUCUGCCUGACACCGCCGAGCUCUCACCUCUGCUCAUCCUUUUUUUCUCUUCCCCGAUCCACCGACGCCAGCGGAUGAAAGCCACCCGAGCGCCACCCGAUUGCCGGCGCCGACCCUGAGCUCCAAUCCGGUCGUCAUUUUCCUCUCCUGGCCGCAAACAUUCAAUGUUUGCUGGAAAUCGAACAAGGAGCCCUGGAUCUCGCCGGCACCUCCUAUCUUUGUCUUCUCUUCGAGCCUUCUCCUUUCAUCCUCGCGAGCACGUCACGCCGCUCGCCCUUGUGCGCCGGUGCCCUUGUCGACGCUGCAAAUUGAUGCCAUCUCUUGAUUAUCUUCUCUGAUUGCUUGAUUGCCACAGUAGCCACAUGCCACACUGCCCCGAUCCACUGUCGCUCACCCUCGUUCUACAUCGCCAGCGCUGUUCUGCCACGCUGCUGGCUGACUUUCGGAUAAGGGCAAGAGGUAGCAGCUUCGUGCCCUAGCUCCAUACCACUGCUAACUCUCGCAAGUUUCCAUCUCUUGAUCUCUGCAGCUCCAAUGGUCGACCUUCUUCCAUCCUCAGCUAAAUCAUCAGUCAUUGCCCUUCCUCUGUGACCACUGUAGCGACUCCAUCGAGCAGUUGCAGAUUUCGUUAAGGGGACUUAGAUUCAAGACGAGCGUCUCGACGUGGAUUGCCUGAUACGAUCUUUCUUUUGAGGCAGGUAGAUAUUUGUGGAGUUGCUUGGAGUAUCUUGUUUGUCGGUUCCCACGUUACAUCCGAAGACCUAUUUUCUGGUUUCUUUAGUACUUUAUUUGGUUUAUGUAUUCGGUGUACUUAGCUUUGUAUAUUCCGAUUUUGUUUCUGGAUUGUUGUGAUGUGGUGUCUUGUAUUAUUUCAUUGUAUGGUGUAAGCCUAGCCGGCUAGCAGUCAUAUUUUGUUUGUAUGUAAUGGUUUCUAUCGUUUUACAUUGUGUUUUUUUUUGUUUUUGUAUAGUCGAGUGGGUUGUUUAAUAUAUAUAUAUAUAUAUA